UCCGGUUUGGCACCGGCAGUCUCCAAUGAGUCCCCGGCAUUACCCGCUGGCAACAUUGGACAGGGGUUGCGCUCGUUGCGCCACUUAAGGCAACACCUCACGGCACGAGCUGACGACAGCCAUGCAGCACCUGUGCAGGCUCCCGAAGGAGCACCGGCUUUCACCGGUUUCACCCUGCAUGUCAAGCCCUGGUAAGGUGGGGAUGACGUAUAGGAGCUCGAC
rnacentral:misc_RNA from 1 species